rnacentral:rRNA from 1 species
AUGACCGGGAUGUGGCCGGAGGCGAUGAUCGGGCGGAGCACGGAGGGGUCGACGCGCGUGACCUCGCCGACGAACCCGAGGGCCGCGGCGUCGGGGGAGGGGCGCGCGGUGAGGAGGCGCGCGUCCUUGCCGCAGAGGCCGACGGCGGUGGCGCCGGCGAGGCUGAUGAGGGAGACGAGCUGCUUGUUGACCUUGCCGACCAGCACCAUCUCGACGACCUCCAUGGUGAGCGCGUCGGUGACGCGGAGGCCGUUGCGGAACUGCGGCUCGACGCCGACGCGCUGCAGCCAGGAGUUGAUCUCCGGGCCGCCGCCGUGCACGAGCACGGGGCGCAGGCCGACGCAGGAGAGCAGGACCAGGUCGCGGAUCACCGACGCCUGCAGCUCCGGCGACUUCAUGGCCGCGCCGCCGUACUUGACCACCACCGUCUUGCCCUUGAACCGCUGGAUGAAGGGGAGCGCCUCCGACAGGACGUCCACGCGGCUCAGCGCCGCGGACGCGGCCUGCGCUGGCGCCGGGGAGGAGGAGGCCGAGACGCGGCGCCCGCGGCGUCCAUGGGGCGCGGACGAGGCGAGCGGCCUGACGCGGGCGGCGUUUAGGGUAGGAUUUGGGAGGGAUGCGGAGGGGAGGGUGAGGGCGGGGUGGGGCUUGGUUAGGAGCAUUGCUGCGGCCGCCGAGGAGCCUUGGUGUUGGCGCCGCCGGGGUGCUUGCCUAGACGGAAGGGGUUGGUGGCCGGCGCUGGGCGUGCGGGGUGCGGCGCAGCGGAAGAGACGGUACUUGUAG